rnacentral:rRNA from 1 species
UACGUAGGUGGCAAGCGUUGUCCGGAUUUACUGGGCGUAAAGCGCGCGUGGGCGGCUUUGCAAGUCGGGUGUGAAAUCCCCAGGCUUAACCUGGGAACUGCAUUCGAGACUGCAUUGCUAGAGUAUGGGAGAGGGAAGUGGAAUUUCCGGUGUAGCGGUGAAAUGCGUAGAUAUCGGAAGGAACAUCAGUGGCGAAAGCGACUUCCUGGACCAAUACUGACGCUCAUGUGCGAAAGCGUGGGGAGCAAACAGG